rnacentral:lncRNA from 1 species
CUCUCAACCCUACGGAUCUCCAUAGCCUGGGUGCCAGUCUAAUUUGUGAUAUCAUUCUACUCCUUGUCAACAUAAUUUGGCAUAUGACAUGGAGUACAGGAAGUGGAAUCCCAACCAGGGAAUUUGGAUGUUGAAGUUGUGGGAACGUACAUUUUUGGUUUACCAUUGGUUCUGGGGAGGAAGCAAUAACUUUACUGAACGGUAAAACGGAAUUCUGAAAGCCUGUUCUGGGAACGUUAAGUUUUAGGUUCCAGGGAGGUUUCUGAGAACGUCUUACUAUGGUUCCAGUGACGUUUCUGAGAACGUCUUACUAUGGUUCCAGGGAGGUUUCUGAGAACGUCUUACUAUGGUUCCAGGGAGGUUCUGAGAACGUCUUACUAUGGUUCCAGGG